GGCGGGGCGGGGUCUCCGCUGCCUCAGGGACGGGUCUUUUGAAGUGCCUGGUGUGACCCAUCUUCCGUGCUUGAAAUCGACGUAGUGGACCCUGGCUAGCAUAUUUUUCCCUGCCAAGAUUAUUGCAAAAAGACGAUGUGGUGGUUAAUAUCGGAAAGAAUGUGUGGUUAAUAUCAGGAAGAACACGUGAAAUGGAGAAUUUCAGGGCUAACAUUUCUUGUUUUGUUUCUGAAAACAUCGGCAUGUCCUAAAAAGUGUCGCCUGUGCCCAUCAUCUCUCAGGCUUGGGAGCAGGACACCGCCGGCUCACUUUAAAGCCAAGGGAAAGAAUUUGGACAACCAACUACGUCUGGAGAAGACACCAAUGUCAGCAGAGCUCCGCUUUCAUCUGUGGGCGAAGGAUUACCUAGAUGCCAAGCUACCUAAAAGGGAAGCGCCCCCUGUCCUAUGAUCACGUGACUUGCUUCACCUUGUCAAUCACUUGGAAGAUUCACCCUCCUUACCCUGCCCUCCUUGUCUUGUAUGCAAUAAAUAUCAGUGCGCCCAGCCAUUCGGGGCCACUACUGGUCUCCGUGUCUUGAUGGUAGUGGUCCCCCGGGCCCAGCUGUUCUCUCUUUAUCUCUUUGUCUUGUGUCUUUAUUUCUCACAAUCUCGUGUCUCCGCACACGGGGAGAAGACCUGCUAAGCCCCAUAGGGCUGUACCCUACAUUCAUCUGAAAGGGACUUGAACCCCAGGUCACCUUGGACAGCCAGCAUCCGGCCAGGGGCACCUUUUAGAAGUUGAAUAGGAUAGGAAGGGAUUGGGG
rnacentral:lncRNA from 10 species